rnacentral:rRNA from 1 species
AUUGAACGCUGGCGGCAUGCCUUACACAUGCAAGUCGAACGGUAACGGGCCUUCGGGUGCCGACGAGUGGCGCACGGGUGAGUAAUACAUCGGAACGUGCCCGAACGUGGGGGAUAACGAGGCGAAAGCUUUGCUAAUACCGCAUACGAUCUAUGCAUGAACGCCGUGGCCCUCAAUGCCUUGCGCGGACGGAGCGGCCGAUGGCAGAUUAGGUAGUUGGUGGGAUAAAAGCUUACCAAGCCGACGAUCUGUAGCUGGUCUGAGAGGAUGAUCAGCCACACUGGGACUGAGACACGGCCCAGACCCCUACGGGAGGCAGCAGUGGGGAAUUUUGGACAAUGGGCGCAAGCCUGAUCCAGCCAUGCCGCGUGCAGGAUGAAGGCCUUCGGGUUGUAAACUGCUUUUGUACGGAACGAAAAGCCUUCUUUUAAUACAGGAGGGUCAUGACGGUACCGUAAGAAUAAGCACCGGCUAACUACGUG